AGUGAACGCUGGCGGCAGGCCUAACACAUGCAAGUCGAACGGCAGCACAGUAAGAGCUUGCUCUUACGGGUGGCGAGUGGCGGACGGGUGAGGAAUACAUCGGAAUCUACUUUUUCGUGGGGGAUAACGUAGGGAAACUUACGCCAAUACCGCAUACGAUCUACGGGUGAAAGCAGGGGACCUUCGGACCUUGCGCGAUUGAAUGAGCCGAUGUCGGAUUAGCUAGUUGGCGGGGUAAAGGCCCACCAAGGCGACGAUCCGUAGCUGGUCUGAGAGGAUGAUCAGCCACACUGGAACUGAGACACGGUCCAGACUCCUACGGGAGGCAGCAGUGGGGAAUGUUGGACAAUGGGCGCAAGCCUGAUCCAGCCAUACCGCGUGGGUGAAGAAGGCCUUCGGGUUGUAAAGCCCUUUUGUUGGGAAAGAAAAGCAGCAGGUUAAUACCCCGCUGUUCUGACGGUACCCAAAGAAUAAGCACCGGCUAACUUCGUG
rnacentral:rRNA from 1 species